AACCUUUUAAUCGCCAUAACCAUCGCCUAUAUUCGCUUUGCCGUGCGGGCUUGCCCGCCGGACUAUGGCGAUAAAUGGUCAUCGGAAUAAGCCUUUCGGACCCGGGGGCGGUACCCGGCGCCUCCACCCAAGCGCGUUGCCAAGAAAAGCGCGCUUCGGCGGGGGCGAAAUAGGAUCGACGGGGGGUGUAAAGGGUGUGCUUUUGCUCGGCAUGAUACCGCCGUUAUCGGGUCAAACUUGUAGUUGCAAACGACAACUAUGCUCCGGUUGCUGUCGCCGCUUAAUGCGGUGCCGGUACCGAAAUCAAAGUCCUAAGGGGUAGCACUCUUAGGCGGGGCCCGGAGGCGCCUGGCAACAGAAGCCUCCACU
rnacentral:tmRNA from 1 species